rnacentral:tRNA from 1 species
AGCCUUGGGGUGUUAUCACACUGGAUUGCAAAUCCAGGGAUGCAGAGUAAAAUCUGCCGGGGCUU